AUUAGUGAUGGAGGAUGUCUGUCAGAAGAGCACAACCUUCGGGUUGUCAGAGCUGCAAGCCAGAGACGAAGGUUUCGGGUCCAGCUCUGUCAGUGUCUGGCUGUGGGAUACAGAAAUCUCUACCCUUCUGUACCGUUAGUAGUCAAGACAAAGAUCACAGUGUAGUAGACUGCCCUGGGCGACUGAGCAAUGACUGCAGAUUCAUCCUGCUUCAUGGGUGAUUUCAGUGAGACGGAAGAGUUUUUCUCACCGCUUCCGAGACACCUGCGUGCCAAGAAGGGAACCCGUGUCUGUGGACAUCCUGGGAAAACACCCUUUGCUACAGGAAUGACUGGGAUUGGCUACCUGACACGUGCCUCUGGAAAGCAGUCACCACAGGGCAAAGACUAAAGUGGCAGCCUGGAGCAUCCCUGAAAGUGUGGUGUCUUGGUCUCUUCCAGCACAGGUGAGCUAGGCCCAGGAGCUGCAAGCAGGGCCCCUGAAGUAACAUGGACAUUUGGUGAGUGAUUGUGACAUGUCGUGUACCAAAUCAGAACGGUUUGUAACUGAUCAAAUGCAAGUGCCCUUUAAGGCCGGUUCUCACCCAUGUUGACCAGGUUGCAUGAUUAGAAUCUUAGGAAUGACUCUCUCACUUACAAGAAGUGACUGCUCACAGUAAAAUGGAACAUGGGAGGCUGCAUCUCUCUCUCUCUCUCUCUCUCUCUCUCUCUCUCUCUCUCUCUCUCUCCCUCCCUCCCUUUCCCUCUUUCUGCCUAUGUGUGAAAAUCAUAGUGUUAGGCUAUUUGUUGAGAAAACAUGAUCCCACUUCUAAAGUGUGUACAUUAUUGAGAAGACACUGACAUGAGUACCAUUUUAAAAGUAAAAGAAAAUCAGGAGUACCAGAACAAAGACAGAUGCAAGACUCCAUGUGACCUGAAGGAAAAGCACGUGUGGGAAUUUCGGGGAGAUGGAAGACGACAGCUUAGUAAAAGAUGAUCUGGAAGGUGAGACCCACACAAUGUGGCAGAUGCUUCACUGAGUUUUGCCGUUUUUAAUGUCUUAGCCGUCCAUUACAGGCCUAUUACGUGCUGGCUACUGUACAUGUUACUAGACAACCUGGUCAGGCAGGAUGGGUGAGGCCGGCCGGCUGGCCAUGGUACAAUUCCCAGUGUGGAGCUAAAAGGCAGGCCUGAAGUUCAGGAAGAAUCUGGGGUGGCUGGACACGAUGGAGUGGAUGAACUUGCCCAAAUACACAAGCGAAAUGAAGUCAGAGGUACAAUAGGAAGUCAGAAAUGCACACAGAGAAAGCCUAAGGGAGAGGAGGUGCUGUGCAGGGGAGGUAGCCGGGGCGGCCAUUUAUGGAGUCCACCCACAAGCGAGUAGAAACCACCGCGCCUAGCCACCAGGGGACUUUUAGUGCCGCAACACAGCUUUCUCUCGUGCACCAUAAGCUUCCUGGUCUCUGGUAACCAUGAUAGAAAGCUGAGGCAAGGAUCCCAGCAAUGCUACUCACUAGCCCUACGGCUUGCGUAACUGACCCUUUCUUUCUGGGUGUAGUUGGGGCUGCCACCUGUCCUGCCUCACAGCUUAUUUUGGGGAUUUGAUAAACUCACCACAUAGCAUGCAUGAUGACCCUUAGAAAAGGCCCUCAGAGCUAGCUACCCCAUGUAGGCCAGUCCACUUGGAAAGGACUUUUUUUUUUAAUUUAUUUUUUUAAAACAACUUAUGGUCUCUUGAGCGGAGGAGCCACAGAGUAGUCCAGAACCUCUGUCCCAUCGCUGGGCUCCCAGGCUCCAUUCACACAGGACAUUCUCUGUGGGGUAGUGGAGCCCAAGCUCUGGGGGUGGGGACAAAAAUGGCACAUCCUAAGAGUCAACACUCUUCAGUUCUGUUGUGAAUCUGACCUGGUUUGGGAACUAUAGAGACGUUUCAUUGAUGAGCUUUGGAUAAACCCUGUAAACAAGUUUUAAAACCCAACACAUGUGACUGGUUUGUAGUUGUCCAAAGUGAUCCCAGAUCUAACACAUGGCAACAAGAGAGAAAAACGCAGGGUGAUUGUGUUACUUUUAAUCAUAUGUUUUUAUUCCAUGGGGUUUCUCUUAAUGGAUUCAAAGAAUUCAAUUCCAUGUUCCCUUCGGUGUGGUACCUUGUUUGUUCCAGGUUCCACAGAUAAAAAUGAGGAAAUGUGGACUGACUUGCCCUGGACUGCCUUCUCAAAGCCCACUCCAGGCCUCACCACAGCAUCUUUGUGGGUAAAGGACUAUGUGCCAAGCAUUCUGGCCCACGAACUGUAUGCAGGCUUUGUGAUGGACCAGAAGCCCUGGAGGUGCUUUAAUAAACACCCAAGAGGACUGCUGGGGAGACCUCCAGAGAACACCAGGAGCUAACACCAGAGGAUGGCUCACAGAAAGACACAGGAUUAGGACCAAGUUUCUGAAUGGCAGAAUCGUUCCCUCAAGCUUUUCUCUAAGUAUUUUACUAGCCACUUUGGAAGAAAGGUUUAGUAAAAUAAAUGAUCUAAGUUCACAAAAAUAUGGUGUGAAAGUGUUUUUGUUAAACU